AUAUAAUGGUAAUGCUUAUUUAGUAGAUUCUAGUUUUUAAACAAAUGAGAAAUACUGUGUUAAAAAGUCUAAAAAGUCCACGUAGGAAAAAAACAGCAAAAACAUUCCAAAUACAAUCCUGCUCCAAAUGAGCAGGCCCUGAAUAAAAAUGAUUCUUAGAAAUGUAGAAAAAUGGCACUAUUUUCAACAUUAUCCAGAACCAGUAUUUUAGUAAAUCUGUUAUCAAUCUAAAUUCUUGUUUUAAAUCUUUACUGAGUUUCCUCUAUUAUUUUCCUCAUUCAGGUAUGUGAAUACACAUAAUCCCUCUGUAAUGAUCUUCUUCUCCAAACUUUGAUAUUUAAGUUUCUUAUCAUACUAUUAAAAUAUGCUGAUGAAGACAAGUGAUUCCAACAUAUGCAUCAAGAACACUUGACUAAUGGUCACUAUACACAUUCCAG